UUCAGGAUGGCCGAGUGGUUAUGGCAUCAGACUCCUGAUCUGAUUGACUAUUGUGUCUGCAGGUUUGAUUCCUGCUCCUGAAG
rnacentral:tRNA from 1 species